AUGGGGUGACUGCGUACCUUUUGUAUAAUGGGUCAGCGACUUAUAUUCUGUAGCAAGGUUAACCGUAUAGGGGAGCCGUAGGGAAACCGAGUCUUAACUGGGCGAAUGAGUUGCAGGGUAUAGACCCGAAACCCGGUGAUCUAUCCAUGGGCAGGUUGAAGGUUGGGUAACACUAACUGGAGGACCGAACCGACUAAUGUUGAAAAAUUAGCGGAUGACUUGUGGAUGGGGGUGAAAGGCCAAUCAAACCGGGAGAUAGCUGGUUCUCCCCGAAAGCUAUUUAGGUAGCGCCUCGUGAACUCAUCUUCGGGGGUAGAGCACUGUUUCGACUAGGGGGUCAUCCCGACUUACCAACUCGAUGCAAACUGCGAAUACCGAAGAAUGUUAUCACGGGAGACACACGGCGGGUGCUAACGUCCGUCGUGAAGAGGGAAACAACCCAGACCGCCAGCUAAGGUCCCAAAGUCAUGGUUAAGUGGGAAACGAAGUGGGAAGGCUCAGACAGCCAGGAUGUUGGCUUAGAAGCAGCCAUCAUUUAAAGAAAGCGUAAUAGCUCACUGGUCGAGUCGGCCCGCGCGGAAGAUGUAACGGGGCUAAACCAUGCACCGAAGCUGCGGCAGCGACACAAUGUGUUGUUGGGUAGGGGAGCGUUCUGUAAGCCUGCGAAGGUGUACUGUGAGGUAUGCUGGAGGUAUCAGAAGUGCGAAUGCUGACAUAAGUAACGAUAAUGCGGGUGAAAAACCCGCACGCCGGAAGACCAAGGGUUCCUGUCCAACGUUAAUCGGGGCAGGGUGAGUCGACCCCUAAGGCGAGGCUGAAAAGCGUAGUCGAUGGGAAACGGGUUAAUAUUCCCGUACUGGUGGUAACUGCGAUGGGGGAACGGAGAAGGCUAGGUUGUCCGGGCGACGGUCGUCCCGGUUCAAGCAGGUAGGCAGAGUGAUUAGGCAAAUCCGGUCACUUAAUGCUGAGAUGUGAUGACGAACCACUAAGGUGGUGAAGCAAUUGAUGCCCCGCUUCCAGGAAAAGCCUCUAAGCUUCAGGUUACCAACAAUCGUACCCCAAACCGACACAGGUGGUCAGGUAGAGAAUACUCAGGCGCUUGAGAGAACUCGGGUGAAGGAACUAGGCAAAAUGGUGCCGUAACUUCGGGAGAAGGCACGCUGGCGGUAGGUAAAGUCCCUUGCGGACGGCGCUGAAGCCAGUCGAAGAUACCAGCUGGCUGCAACUGUUUAUUAAAAACACAGCACUGUGCAAACACGAAAGUGGACGUAUACGGUGUGACGCCUGCCCGGUGCUGGAAGGUUAAUUGAUGGGGUCAGCCGUAAGGCGAAGCUCCUGAUCGAAGCCCCAGUAAACGGCGGCCGUAACUAUAACGGUCCUAAGGUAGCGAAAUUCCUUGUCGGGUAAGUUCCGACCUGCACGAAUGGCGUAAUGAUGGCCAGGCUGUCUCCACCCGAGACUCAGUGAAAUUGAACUCGCUGUGAAGAUGCAGUGUACCCGCGGCAAGACGGAAAGACCCCGUGAACCUUUACUAUAGCUUGACACUGAACAUUGAGCCUUGAUGUGUAGGAUAGGUGGGAGGCUUUGAAGUGUGGACGCCAGUCUGCAUGGAGCCAACCUUGAAAUACCACCCUUUAACGUUUGAUGUUCUAACCUAGGCCCAUAAACUGGGUCGGGGACCGUGUCUGGUGGGUAGUUUGACUGGGGCGGUCUCCUCCUAAAGAGUAACGGAGGAGCACGAAGGUUGGCUAAGCAUGGUCGGACAUCAUGCGGUUAGUGCAAAGGCAUAAGCCAGCUUGACUGCGAGAGUGACGGCUCGAGCAGGUACGAAAGUAGGUCUUAGUGAUCCGGUGGUUCUGAAUGGAAGGGCCAUCGCUCAACGGAUAAAAGGUACUCCGGGGAUAACAGGCUGAUACCGCCCAAGAGUUCAUAUCGACGGCGGUGUUUGGCACCUCGAUGUCGGCUCAUCACAUCCUGGGGCUGAAGUAGGUCCCAAGGGUAUGGCUGUUCGCCAUUUAAAGUGGUACGCGAGCUGGGUUUAGAACGUCGUGAGACAGUUCGGUCCCUAUCUGCCGUGGGCGUUGGAAGAUUGAGAGGGGUUGCUCCUAGUACGAGAGGACCGGAGUGAACGCACCACUGGUGUUCGGGUUGUCAUGCCAAUGGCAUUGCCCGGUAGCUAAGUGCGGAAGAGAUAACCGCUGAAAGCAUCUAAGCGGGAAACUUGCCUCGAGAUGAGUCUUCCCUGUCGCUUUAAGCGACCUAAAGGAACGUUUAAGACUAAGACGUUGAUAGGCUGGGUGUGUAAGCGUAGCGAUACGUUGAGCUAACCAGUACUAAUGAACCGUGAGGCUUAACCUG
rnacentral:rRNA from 1 species